AGAGUUUGAUCAUGGCUCAGAUUGAACGCUGGCGGCAGGCCUAACACAUGCAAGUCGAGCGGUAGCACAGAGAGCUUGCUCUCGGGUGACGAGCGGCGGACGGGUGAGUAAUGUCUGGGAAACUGCCUGAUGGAGGGGGAUAACUACUGGAAACGGUAGCUAAUACCGCAUAACGUCGCAAGACCAAAGUGGGGGACCUUCGGGCCUCAUGCCAUCAGAUGUGCCCAGAUGGGAUUAGCUAGUAGGUGGGGUAACGGCUCACCUAGGCGACGAUCCCUAGCUGGUCUGAGAGGAUGACCAGCCACACUGGAACUGAGACACGGUCCAGACUCCUACGGGAGGCAGCAGUGGGGAAUAUUGCACAAUGGGCGCAAGCCUGAUGCAGCCAUGCCGCGUGUGUGAAGAAGGCCUUCGGGUUGUAAAGCACUUUCAGCGGGGAGGAAGGCGNNNNNNNNNNNNNCGAUUGACGUUACCCGCAGAAGAAGCACCGGCUAACUCCGUGCCAGCAGCCGCGGUAAUACGGAGGGUGCAAGCGUUAAUCGGAAUUACUGGGCGUAAAGCGCACGCAGGCGGUCUGUCAAGUCGGAUGUGAAAUCCCCGGGCUCAACCUGGGAACUGCAUUCGAAACUGGCAGGCUAGAGUCUUGUAGAGGGGGGUAGAAUUCCAGGUGUAGCGGUGAAAUGCGUAGAGAUCUGGAGGAAUACCGGUGGCGAAGGCGGCCCCCUGGACAAAGACUGACGCUCAGGUGCGAAAGCGUGGGGAGCAAACAGGAUUAGAUACCCUGGUAGUCCACGCCGUAAACGAUGUCGAUUUGGAGGUUGUGCCCUUGAGGCGUGGCUUCCGGAGCUAACGCGUUAAAUCGACCGCCUGGGGAGUACGGCCGCAAGGUUAAAACUCAAAUGAAUUGACGGGGGCCCGCACAAGCGGUGGAGCAUGUGGUUUAAUUCGAUGCAACGCGAAGAACCUUACCUGGUCUUGACAUCCACAGAACUUUCCAGAGAUGGAUUGGUGCCUUCGGGAACUGUGAGACAGGUGCUGCAUGGCUGUCGUCAGCUCGUGUUGUGAAAUGUUGGGUUAAGUCCCGCAACGAGCGCAACCCUUAUCCUUUGUUGCCAGCGGUUAGGCCGGGAACUCAAAGGAGACUGCCAGUGAUAAACUGGAGGAAGGUGGGGAUGACGUCAAGUCAUCAUGGCCCUUACGACCAGGGCUACACACGUGCUACAAUGGCAUAUACAAAGAGAAGCGACCUCGCGAGAGCAAGCGGACCUCAUAAAGUAUGUCGUAGUCCGGAUUGGAGUCUGCAACUCGACUCCAUGAAGUCGGAAUCGCUAGUAAUCGUAGAUCAGAAUGCUACGGUGAAUACGUUCCCGGGCCUUGUACACACCGCCCGUCACACCAUGGGAGUGGGUUGCAAAAGAAGUAGGUAGCUUAACCUUCGGGAGGGCGCUUACCACUUUGUGAUUCAUGACUGGGGUGAAGUCGUAACAAGGUAACCGUAGGGGAACCUGCGGUUG
rnacentral:rRNA from 1 species